UACGGAGGGGGCAAGCGUUGUUCGGAAUUACUGGGCGUAAAGCGCACGUAGGCGGCUUUGCAAGUCAGAGGUGAAAGCCCGGGGCUCAACCCCGGAAUUGCCUUUGAGACUGCAUCGCUAGAAUUGUGGAGAGGUAAGUGGAAUUCCGAGUGUAGAGGUGAAAUUCGUAGAUAUUCGGAAGAACACCAGUGGCGAAGGCGACUUACUGGACACAUAUUGACGCUGAGGUGCGAAAGCGUGGGGAGCAAACAGG
rnacentral:rRNA from 1 species